rnacentral:tRNA from 1 species
UCCCUAGUGGUCCAGUGGCUAGGACUCUGCACUCUCACUGCCCAGGGCCUGGGUUCAAUCCUUGGUUGGGGAA